GGAGAGCCAUCUUGACGACUGGUGUGAGCAGCGGCAAACGAGCUCCUUCGGCAUCCGGCACUACUGCAGGAGAAGACUGUCGGUACGAGAGCAGGAAGGAGAGCCAUCUUGACGACUGGUAUGAGCAGCGGCAGACGGGUUCCUUCGCCUACCGGCAGAUUACGACAGUGGUCUACUGCAGGGAACGGCGAUUUUGUCUUUUCUUGCCGGUGAUGCCGCCUAAGAGGAAUUCCAACUCUCUAGCACAGGACCUCCUACAGCACGUCCUCCGUUCGCCACUGUCUCAACAGCUCGGCAGCCAUAGCGACCCCAGGUCAGAUUUUCUCAUCGACUUGAACGCUUGACAACCGGCUGUCUGAGUCACCGACGAGGUCUUUCUGCACCCAACUCCUGGCUGGCUCACGUUCCGGUGACAUCUUGCACUUGUGGCCCAGUGUUGCCGCUGACAGUCUCCAAGGACGUGCAAUCUUCCUUUGCUACUGUGAGGGAACCUGAAGCUUUUCAAGCCGUAGCGCUACGACAGCGGAAAAGAAAUGCAUCUUGAUGGCUGUUGCUGGCAACAACAGCAUUGACGAUGCAGUUGUCUUCUGCAGGGAACUGCGGCGUAUGCAAAUAAACAUGCUAUUGUUAGUUAA